UAGGGUAUAACGAAAUGGUUAUCGUGUUUGCUUUGGGAGCAAAAAGUUACAGGUUCGAAUCCUGUUACCCUAA
rnacentral:tRNA from 3 species